AUUGAACGCUGGCGGCAUGCCUAACACAUGCAAGUCGAACGCCAUGGUUUCGGCCAUGGAGUGGCGCACGGGUGAGUAACGCGUGGGAACCUGCCCAGCAGUAUGGGACAACCGCGGGAAACUGCGGCUAAUACCGUAUACGCCCGUCUUUGGGAGACCAGGGGCGGGGAAAGAUUGAUCGCUGUUGGAGGGGCCCGCGUCGGAUUAGGUAGUUGGUGGGGUAAAGGCCUACCAAGCCUGCGAUCCGUAGCUGGUCUGAGAGGAUGAUCAGCCACACUGGGACUGGGACACGGCCCAGACUCCUACGGGAGGCAGCAGUGGGGAAUAUUGGACAAUGGGCGCAAGCCUGAUCCAGCAAUGCCGCGUGAGUGAUGAAGGCCUUAGGGUUGUAAAGCUCUUUCACACGCGACGAUGAUGACGGUAGCGUGAGAAGAAGCCCCGGCUAACUCCGUGCCAGCCGCCGCCGUAACAC
rnacentral:rRNA from 1 species